UCUCCGUAAUUCUGAGGUUAACAUUCCUAUCAAAUCUCCUGUGCAGGCUUCAACCAUCCCAAGAACCCCUGCUCAUACCAAUAUAUUACCUGAAAAUAUUCAGCCAACAACCCGACCUGAAACAAAUCCUACCACUAACACAUCAUUACAACAUACGGGACGUCAUAAAGAUACUAGAAACAUGGCUGUGAACAACGUUCCUCAAAAUGUAUUACGAAAAGGUGCUUUCAGUUCAGAUCAACGAAUUAAUCGUUCUUUUGAUCAGACGCAUUUGGGUAGUGCUCAAGCUAGGGCUCAUGGCAAUUUUGUUCAUGUAGACACGCCAGGUUCUCGGCCACAAGAACAUGUAACAGUCGGGGAUCGUGACUCUGAGGUUUCUAAAGUUGGUUUCGAUAUGACAUCACCAAAUGGCAGAGUGUGUGAAGGGACAACUACAGGUACUUUGGCAAAAUAUCCCAAAUACGCUAGCAAAACUGUGCGUGUCACAAGCUUUAACGACUGCGGUGAUAUUGUUAUUCCACCUGACAGUUUAGCUGACUCUGGAUUUUUCUACGCUGGUUUUUGGAGACUGUGUGAGAUGCUUUCAGUGUGGUGUUGGUCUUCGGCACUGGUCUGAGGAAGAUGAUCCUUGGAUUGAGCACUCGAGAUGGUCAAAGGAUUGCUCCUUUGUAAGGCAAAUGAGAGGUCAAGAAUUUGUUAAUCUUGUGCAGAUGGCAGUACAAUAUUCGCAAAACCAAAACGAGAGCGGAGAGAGCUAGAGUAAUGCUACUGCAGCGUCAAACGGAGAGACUCGCGGCGGGGAAGAUGUAGAAAACCUAAUGCACACCGACGCUGCUCAAAGUGUUCUAGAAAUUGGAUACCAUCCAAAUAUUAUACGAAGGGCUAUUAAAGCGAUAGUAGAAGUAAAUGGACAGAAUGACUUAACAGCUGCACAUUUAGUGGAAAAGAUAUUUGAGAUAGAAGAAUCUGACAAUGCCUCGAAUACAGUACAAAAUGGAGAACACCGUCAACAAGAAGAGCAAAUAACACAGUCGUCUCAUUCUCGACAUGAACCUACCGUUAUGAAUGGAAUAACAUCAGAACACAGGGAUCGGAACAGUAUUGAAACGCAAAGAACAACAGAAGCGCAAGCGACGAGUACAAAUGAAGCAAACAAUUCGAAUUUAUCUUCAAAGCCAAGUUCUGUAGGGCCCUCUUUGUCAACUCACAUGAGUGGCCCAGAGAGUUCAAGAGAAACACGAAAAUCUCAACUGUUGGAGCAGAAAAAACUGAAAGAGGAAAAUGAGAAGUUAAAGCAACAGUCAAUAUGCACAAAAUGCAAACAAAACGACGUUUGCAUUGUUUUCCUUCCUUGCGGACAUUUAGUCACUUGUGAAGAAUGCGCACCAACAGUAAGGUACUGCACGAUGCAGACCUGUGGUAAAUACAUUAAAGGAACGGUCAGGACGUAUUUGGCUUGAAGUGGCGUCGUCUUCACAGACAAGUGGGCGUGCAUUAAAGAAGACUAGUGUCAGAGUGGUUUCGGAAAAGAUGCCUAUUUUGAGAUACUUCAGAUGCAGUUGCAACAGACGGGAUACCUACACAGAGAUCGGUUUCAGUAAAGACAUUUAACUGUGCUUUGGUUUUCCAUACAAAUAUAAUUUACUUAAUGUUGACCUGUAUAAAAUGAUGAAAAAGAUAUAUUAAAAAAAAAGAAAAAAAGACGGAAUAUGUAUCAAAUAUUGAUAUAAUUUCGCAAAACUUGACGGUUGUUUUAUAGUUAAAACUUUCCGUUUUCAAAAAUAUAUGUUUUCAUUGUAAUGAUUUAUGUAACUUUAUAUACUAAAAUAGGUAUAUAUUUUCUUUGGUACACCUGAUUUAUAUCUGGCAGCGUACCUUCAUGACGGAGUGGUUUUGUUCGCUGAUUUCAAAUCGCUUGCCCCGCACUGCUGAUGGUUCGAUGUAGAAAUAUUUAAUAUGAGGAGGCCAUACAACUUGCUUACGGAAGGGCAGUGGUUCUACCCAGGUGCUCGCUCGUGCCUGAAUAAUGUCCGUCCUAAGGAGCUCCUGGGUCUCCCACCUGGAAAGUCGCCAUAUGACCUAUAAUUUUGUUGGUGUGACGUUAACACCAACAAAAUUAUAUCUAGCAACCAUUGAUCAAUAGCAUGAUAAAGAAAUAUUUUGAAUUAAUAUUGAAUUCUUUGUUUUGUUGUACGUUUAGCGUUCUAUUCAAAGUAUUUCAGAGAGAACACAUACAUCGCCCUGGCGGGGAUCUAACUCACAACCCCACGUUCCAAUCAUUUGAGCUGUCUAUAUUGAGUUAAGCGGAUGGGAUUUUGAAAUAGUUGUUUGCUGCUAAAAACGUUUAUGUGCAAUGUUGAAACGAAAUAAUUACUGGGUUGAUUAUAUUGAUAUUAUGUUUGUUUGUGAUAUGCAUAAACUGUCUUAUAUUUGUAUUUUAUUAUUAUAACUGAAUAUGGUACACUAGUAUUAAAUGGCAUAAGGGCACAAAAGUUUUGUAUGCUAUGUAUAAAUUGCUCAAUAACAUUUAAAACAUGUCUCAAAAAACUUUAAACUUAUCCCCUGUCAUAAUAUUUGAUAUCAUUUGUUCUGUUUAUUUUUUACCUUGUAAAGGUAAUAUCAUGUUGUUACUGAAUGAAUUAUGUAUAUAUAUAUUUGAUUAAAAACGCUUAAAUGCAGUAGCCGUAGCUUUCGACCUGCGGCUUAUAUAAGAAAACUGAAUUGAC
rnacentral:misc_RNA from 1 species